rfam:Salmo salar isolate Sally breed double haploid chromosome ssa17, whole genome shotgun sequence.
AAAUACAAAUACUGUAAGUCACUCUGGAUAAGAGUGUCUGCUAAAUGACUAAAA